rnacentral:rRNA from 1 species
GAUGAACGCUAGCUACAGGCUUAACACAUGCAAGUCGAGGGGCAGCAUGGUCUUAGCUUGCUAAGGCCGAUGGCGACCGGCGCACGGGUGAGUAACACGUAUCCAACCUGCCGUCUACUCUUGGACAGCCUUCUGAAAGGAAGAUUAAUACAAGAUGGCAUCAUGAGUCCACAUGUUCACAUGAUUAAAGGUAUUCCGGUAGACGAUGGGGAUGCGUUCCAUUAGAUAGUAGGCGGGGUAACGGCCCACCUAGUCUUCGAUGGAUAGGGGUUCUGAGAGGAAGGUCCCCCACAUUGGAACUGAGACACGGUCCAAACUCCUACGGGAGGCAGCAGUGAGGAAUAUUGGUCAAUGGGCGAGAGCCUGAACCAGCCAAGUAGCGUGAAGGAUGACUGCCCUAUGGGUUGUAAACUUCUUUUAUAAAGGAAUAAAGUCGGGUAUGCAUACCCGUUUGCAUGUACUUUAUGAAUAAGGAUCGGCUAACUCCGUGCCAGCAGCCGCGGUAAUACGGAGGAUCCGAGCGUUAUCCGGAUUUAUUGGGUUUAAAGGGAGCGUAGAUGGAUGUUUAAGUCAGUUGUGAAAGUUUGCGGCUCAACCGUAAAAUUGCAGUUGAUACUGGAUAUCUUGAGUGCAGUUGAGGCAGGCGGAAUUCGUGGUGUAGCGGUGAAAUGCUUAGAUAUCACGAAGAACUCCGAUUGCGAAGGCAGCCUGCUAAGCUGCAACUGACAUUGAGGCUCGAAAGUGUGGGUAUCAAACAGGAUUAGAUACCCUGGUAGUCCACACGGUAAACGAUGAAUACUCGCUGUUUGCGAUAUACUGCAAGCGGCCAAGCGAAAGCGUUAAGUAUUCCACCUGGGGAGUACGCCGGCAACGGUGAAACUCAAAGGAAUUGACGGGGGCCCGCACAAGCGGAGGAACAUGUGGUUUAAUUCGAUGAUACGCGAGGAACCUUACCCGGGCUUAAAUUGCAGAUGAAUUACGGUGAAAGCCGUAAGCCGCAAGGCAUCUGUGAAGGUGCUGCAUGGUUGUCGUCAGCUCGUGCCGUGAGGUGUCGGCUUAAGUGCCAUAACGAGCGCAACCCUUGUUGUCAGUUACUAACAGGUUCCGCUGAGGACUCUGACAAGACUGCCAUCGUAAGAUGUGAGGAAGGUGGGGAUGACGUCAAAUCAGCACGGCCCUUACGUCCGGGGCUACACACGUGUUACAAUGGGGGGUACAGAGGGCCGCUACCACGCGAGUGGAUGCCAAUCCCAAAAACCUCUCUCAGUUCGGACUGGAGUCUGCAACCCGACUCCACGAAGCUGGAUUCGCUAGUAAUCGCGCAUCAGCCACGGCGCGGUGAAUACGUUCCCGGGCCUUGUACACACCGCCCGUCAAGCCAUGGGAGCCGGGGGUACCUGAAGUGCGUAACCGCGAGGAGCGCCCUAGGGUAAAACUGGUGACUGGGGCU